rnacentral:rRNA from 1 species
AGAUUGAACGCUGGCGGCAUGCCUAACACAUGCAAGUCGAACGGGAGUAGCAAUACUCUAGUGGCGGACGUGUGAGGAAUACGUAGGAAUUUGCCCUUAAGUGGGGGAUAACCCGGGAAACCCGGAUUAAUACCGCAUGACCUUCGAAAGAGCAAAGUGGGGAUCGCAAGACCUCACGCUUUUGGAGAAGCCUACGUCGGAUUAGCGUAAGUUGGUGAGGUAAUGGCUCACCAAGGCGACGAUCCGUAACUGGUCUGAGAGGAUGAUCAGUCACACCGG